AGAUUGCAUCCAAAUAGGGCAUUUCAGACUCUUUUGUUGACCAUGAGGGCUAAUCCAUUUCUUCUAAGGGAUUCCUGCCCACAGUAGUAGAUAUAAUGGUCAUCUGAGUUAAAACCACCCAUUCCAACAAAAUAUGAAAA